GACGAACGCUGGCGGCGUGCUUAACACAUGCAAGUCGAACGGAAAGGCCCUGCUUGCAGGGUACUCUAGUGUCGAACGGGUGAGUAACACGUGUGUGUUCUGCCCUCCACUUCGUGAUAUGCCUUGGAAACUGUGUCUAUUACCGGAUAUAAGCCCUUCUUCUUGUUAUUGUUGGAAAGUUUUUUCGGUGUAGGAUGAGCUCGCGGCCUAUCAGCUUGUUGGUGGGGUAAUGGCCUACCAAGGCGGCGACGGGUAGCCGGCCUGAGAGGGUGGACGGCCACAUUGGGACUGAGAUACGGCCCAGACUCCUACGGGAGGCAGCAGUGGGGAAUAUUGCACAAUGGGCGCAAGCCUGAUGCAGCGACGCCGCGUGGGGGAUGACGGCCUUCGGGUUGUAAACUCCUUUCGCUAGGGACGAAGCUUUUGUGACGGUACCUAGAUAAGAAGCACCGGCUAACUACGUG
rnacentral:rRNA from 1 species